GGUUGCAGCGGCGGGACUUUUGAAGAGAAGUGCAAAAGGACAACGAAGAUUUUGCCAGAACCGGUGGUGAAGAGAUGGUGUUGUUGCCCUCUGAGAAAGGUCAAGGUCAUGAUGGGCGAUCAGCUCUGUUUGGCAGGCUCUCCCUCUAUCAGAGUUUGCGGUUAUCGGGCUUGGCCCAUAUGGGUACGCUGCGUUUUGUUGCUGAUAAUAAAGACGCUGCACAUUCCAUUGACUCAAAAGGUCAAGAAAAUUCAUGCUGUCGGUUGAGGAGGGUGUCUGCCUCGUAUGAAGGUGGUCUACAAAAGCAAAGAAGACCGCAGCAUGAUGUCCACGACAAAAUAAAUCAGCACAGCUAAUGCUAGCUUGCUCAAAGGAAAAUCACAAAACUACAAGGAAUCAUCACAAAAUCCACUAAUCUGAAAAAUGGUUUAAAGUUUACGGAGGUGUUGUGUGUUUAGUGCCUGUGAUCAGAAGGUCAUCGGUUCAGA